UUGUGCUGUCCAGAAAAAGAUCAAAUUGACAUCAAACAAAAUCAAACGGUCCAGAUAAGAUCAAAAUUUUUUCCCUAAAUCUGCAGAACAGAUUUAACAACAGCAUUACAAACGCAAACCGCAGCAGCACCCAAUCCAAUUCAAAAACCUAUAAGUCCCCAAAUAUGUGCGUGCCCUAAUUCCACUGGUUCCUUGCUUAGAUUGCUGUGGCGUCUUUAAUCUGAGGAUGACAGAAAGCGGAGGCAGCAGCAUCAGCAAAAGGCGAAGCAGAUCCAAAUGCCUGAGGGUUCAAAAGAGAUCCUGAAGAUCAGUGCGAAAACUUGAAACAGAAAUGUCUGAAGAUGGAUAAUCCGGCAGAUGAUGCUCAGAAGAAUGAUACUAAUGAUGGUCUUCUUCCAGGUACUUGUGGGGAAGAAAAAUACAUCAUAAUAGAAGGAUAUAAAUAUUUCUUUGGGGAGAAGGGAUUACUUUUAAGAACUGAACCAAUGGAUAAAGCUGAUCUAGAGAAGCUGGAGACCCAUGAAGAAAAGCGUAAAUGGGAGAAACAGAUGGCGCGGGAGUGGAAGAGGAUUGCUAAGGCUGCAUUAUCCUAUUACAAUCAUCAAGAGGUUAUUUUUUCUUUUAUUUACUAGUCGUGACUGUGCUUGCUUUGUGGUUGAUAUGUAAUGAUAAUAGGCAAUGAUAUAUCAAGAUUAUUAAUUUUAAAAUAAGAAAAUGAUAGUAGAAUCUUUGAUUCAAAUAUUCUUUCAUGACCUACUAACCUAAUUAGAAACGAAUUAACCGUAAGAAAAUCAGUUAUUAUUUCCUAACAUUCAAAUCGAUUAAGGCUUUAUGAGAUAGAUUGAAAGGAAUUUUUCUCUUAUUUUUUUUUUACCAUCAUUCCUCAUAUAUGCAGGGCAUGAAAGAAAAUACAGUAGCUAUGGAAUGUGUUAUCUAUGUUAGUGUUCUUUUACAUUGGUUUGAAACAAGGUUAUUAUAUAAUCAUUUAGCCAACAAUAACACAUGAAACAAUGGAUAAGAAUGUUAAUGUAAAAGUAAGGAAGUGGGUAAUUAAGGGUACAAACUGUGGUUUAUCAGAAAGGAAAAAAACAAGAACGAAGUGGGCAUAAU
rnacentral:misc_RNA from 1 species